rnacentral:rRNA from 1 species
AUGAGAAACUAUUUUGUGGAGAAUCCUACAUACCCCGAGUCCUACUUUCAGCGUCGUUUUAGGAUGAGCAUCGAGUUGUUCAAACACAUUACGGAGAAACUGGCGAGCCAUGAUCGGGUUUUUCGGCAAAGGAGGAAUGUCGCCGGAGAACUCGGGCAUAGCACCUUUCAAAAGGUGAUCGCCGCUUUGCGUAUGUUGGCACACGGUAUUCCGGCAGAUCUAGUUGAUGACUACUUGGCCAUGGAUGAGAGUCAAGCCAUCAUGUGUGUCAAGCGCUUCGAAGUCGGAAUUGUGCAAGUGUUUGGUCCGGAAUAUUUGAGAGCUCCCAAUGCUGAAGACACCGCAAGGCUUUUGGAGAUGAACAAAGCUUGCGGGUUCCCAAGUAUGCUUGGCUCAAUAGAUUGCAUGCAUUGA